rnacentral:rRNA from 1 species
UACGAAGGGGGCGAGCGUUGUUCGGAAUUACUGGGCGUAAAGGGCGCGUAGGCGGCGAACCAAGUCAGAUGUGAAAGUCCGUGGGCUUAACCUGGGGACUGCAUUUGAUACUGGUUUGCUUGAAUUCGGGAGAGGAUAGCGGAAUUCCCAGUGUAGAGGUGAAAUUCGUAGAUAUUGGGAAGAACACCGGUGGCGAAGGCGGCUAUCUGGACCGACAUUGACGCUGAGGCGCGAAAGCGUGGGGAGCAAACAGG